CUGAAACAUCUAAGUACCCCGAGGAAAAGAAAUCAACCGAGAUUCCCCCAGUAGCGGCGAGCGAACGGGGAGCAGCCCAGAGCCUGAAUCAGUGUGUGUGUUAGUGGAAGCGUCUGGAAAGGCGCGCGAUACAGGGUGACAGCCCCGUACACAAAAAUGCACAUGCUGUGAGCUCGAUGAGUAGGGCGGGACACGUGGUAUCCUGUCUGAAUAUGGGGGGACCAUCCUCCAAGGCUAAAUACUCCUGACUGACCGAUAGUGAACCAGUACCGUGAGGGAAAGGCGAAAAGAACCCCGGCGAGGGGAGUGAAAAAGAACCUGAAACCGUGUACGUACAAGCAGUGGGAGCACGCUUAGGCGUGUGACUGCGUACCUUUUGUAUAAUGGGUCAGCGACUUAUAUUCUGUAGCAAGGUUAACCGAAUAGGGGAGCCGAAGGGAAACCGAGUCUUAACUGGGCGUUAAGUUGCAGGGUAUAGACCCGAAACCCGGUGAUCUAGCCAUGGGCAGGUUGAAGGUUGGGUAACACUAACUGGAGGACCGAACCGACUAAUGUUGAAAAAUUAGCGGAUGACUUGUGGCUGGGGGUGAAAGGCCAAUCAAACCGGGAGAUAGCUGGUUCUCCCCGAAAGCUAUUUAGGUAGCGCCUCGUGAAUUCAUCUCCGGGGGUAGAGCACUGUUUCGGCAAGGGGGUCAUCCCGACUUACCAACCCGAUGCAAACUGCGAAUACCGGAGAAUGUUAUCACGGGAGACACACGGCGGGUGCUAACGUCCGUCGUGAAGAGGGAAACAACCCAGACCGCCAGCUAAGGUCCCAAAGUCAUGGUUAAGUGGGAAACGAUGUGGGAAGGCCCAGACAGCCAGGAUGUUGGCUUAGAAGCAGCCAUCAUUUAAAGAAAGCGUAAUAGCUCACUGGUCGAGUCGGCCUGCGCGGAAGAUGUAACGGGGCUAAACCAUGCACCGAAGCUGCGGCAGCGACGCUGAUGCGUUGUUGGGUAGGGGAGCGUUCUGUAAGCCUGCGAAGGUGUGCUGUGAGGCAUGCUGGAGGUAUCAGAAGUGCGAAUGCUGACAUAAGUAACGAUAAAGCGGGUGAAAAGCCCGCUCGCCGGAAGACCAAGGGUUCCUGUCCAACGUUAAUCGGGGCAGGGUGAGUCGACCCCUAAGGCGAGGCCGAAAGGCGUAGUCGAUGGGAAACAGGUUAAUAUUCCUGUACUUGGUGUUACUGCGAAGGGGGGACGGAGAAGGCUAUGUUGGCCGGGCGACGGUUGUCCCGGUUUAAGCGUGUAGGCUGGUUUUCCAGGCAAAUCCGGAAAAUCAAGGCUGAGGCGUGAUGACGAGGCACUACGGUGCUGAAGCAACAAAUGCCCUGCUUCCAGGAAAAGCCUCUAAGCAUCAGGUAACAUCAAAUCGUACCCCAAACCGACACAGGUGGUCAGGUAGAGAAUACCAAGGCGCUUGAGAGAACUCGGGUGAAGGAACUAGGCAAAAUGGUGCCGUAACUUCGGGAGAAGGCACGC
rnacentral:rRNA from 1 species